UGGAAAUGUGAGAGCGUAGUUGGAACAUUUACCCUAUACAAUAUACAAUUUAAAAUUAGCUUGGAAACUAACUUCAAAGUGAAGCAUUUUAGUCACUUGAAGGUGUCAUCUGGGACGAACAAAGAUAUAAGAUAAGAUAUGUAAAAGCCAGAAGUACUUGAAACACGUUAAAUUGUAGUUUAAAAGCAUGGAUUAUGUAGGUAGAUUAGAGAUUUCAGUUAUUUAUUAAAUAAACUUCAAUUAUAGAAUUCAGAAAGCUAAUUAACAUAAGAGAUAGGACGCGGGGGGUCCGCUUAGGGAGGCGACUAGCCUAUGAAGUUGUAUAAUAAAUCUUCCUAUUUAGUGUAUUUGUUAAUUACAGACAAUGUCAAUAGCGAAAGUCAUAUCUUCAACCAGGCGCUUACGAACAAGUGAAAUUUUAGGAAAGAUGUGUUAAAUAGGGGAAUUUACGUAUUCUCGGCAACCUAAGCAGCGACCUUCUUUCUAUAGCCUUUUUCUCUAAGGAACGCACACAUAUGAAGUAUUGGUUUGUUUACAAUCUUUUGCUGCCAGCUACUCUAACAAUUUCAGUCGAAAGAAUUGUCAAAAACUGUUUUGAAACGCUUUUACAAAGCUCCAAUCUUCUCUAGUGAGAGCGAGUAUUGUCGGCAACCAGUUUUUCUUCGGCAACCGUUCCAUUUGAACUGCAUGUAAAUCUGCUGUUCUAUUAUCGUCAACUCGAAAUCAACUACAAUUUGUUGAGCGUGUGUUUCAUUUCAAGUAAACCAUGCUAGAUUGCUUUUUCACAGUGGUAAAAAUAUAGUCAAAUUGAAGCUGAAAGCAUAAAGAAUCGUUUGCAUGCAAUCAGCGAAGUGUUUUCGUAAGAAAAUCCAGUGAAAAUAGUGUUUCAAUUUGGGUUGCCGAAAAUAGUCUGUCAUGCCGAAGCCGUCAUUUCCCCUAUGUUGAUAGGUUUGAAAUAAGAAUUAGGAUUAUUGUGCUUUAGUUUUCGGUAAGUUAUGAUGUGUCAACAAAGCCCUUUUGAGCAAAUUUUCAAACAUCAAAUUGAUUGAGUGAUUUAUUGAAAGACAUUGCGUUGCGAAAAUUGACAAGUCAUACAUCUAACAUAGUAGGAGUAGCAGUGUCGCAUAAUCUUAUCACAAUUGCUGCAAUUAGUGCUUGAGGGGCCAGCAGGGCUGAAUACGGAUCAAAACUAACAUAACUACUAACACUAAAAUGAUCCCGGAACUAACACUUAUCCAUUGCACUUUUAGUUAUUUAUUAGUUUUAUUUUUCUACUAAGUCAUCUAUGCUUCUUUCUAUUGUUUUGAUCAAGUACAACUAAUACUAAUCUACCUUUAUGUAUGUUUUACUCCCUUUUAACCCAUUAUCUUUGUGAAUGGCGAAUCAUAUGACGUGAGACACGUACAAGCUGGAACUCAAAGAAUUACUUCGAACAGGAUGUCAAACAAAUUCAGGACCAAUCCAAAUGAGACCAGAAACCAACAAAGCAUCGGGGAGUUAUAUAUUCUGGGAGAGUUAUUUGAUAAAUAAUCAAAAAGUGGUAAGUUAAAAUCAGAGCCAAGGAUCAUGAGAGGGAAUUGUCAAUAAUUCAUUAAUUAGUAGAAAUCUCGAUAACUUUUUCAAGGAUGCGUAUCGGCUUUUGUAGGCGGUGCGUUUGGUCGUCGAUUUGGCGUAACUGGUGGCUCGCCCGCGCGUGCUGGCACUAUCAUCAGAUAGGGGAAAUUUUCCUCUACCUGCUGGUGGUGUUGAUAAGCGUGUGCGAGCUGCCGGUUGCGCCGGAUCGACGAUCGGAUGCAUUGUUUGCAGGAGCUGGUGCUUCCCUUUGAAAAAGUAAUCGAGAAAUAACCAUAUUAUCCGGUAAUUGAUAUUACUAUUUUUAUAUAUCAAUGAAAUUAGUCAUGACAGAGUAACAGAUGGGGAAGGACAAUAGACACAAGUUGACACAAUAAACAAGACAAGUGGGGGUUAAUACACAAGACAAAAUGACAAAAUAAGUGACGACAGAAGACAAGACUGGGACGAAAAUCAACCUUUUAAAAAAACAAGAAUGCGCAAUUAUAUUAUCAAAACUAUUUGGAUCAGCACAAAAACAACAGUGACCAAACGGGCACCAUAGCCUAGGAACGUCUGUGUGUUGAUUUAAAAUAGAGGCUCAUAGAAGCAAAAUUUACCAAUAAAAGGGGUCCAGUGUAGAGUUUUAGCAAGUUGCUGCCACUGGAUCACUACAAAAAAAAAAAAUGAUUAAUAAUGCUCCCACAACGCUUACUCUUAAAUAUUUUAUUUUUCAAUUGCCUAUUCUAGCAACGUGAAGCAACCUUAAGAAUGGAGGAAGCGCGAUACAGAUCACUCGGAUAUUACAAACACCGUCAAAAUUUGGAUAAUGCUAUUCAGAAUCCUGAUGAAGGCAAUAUUUUACCGCAGAAGCCACCUCCAAGACCCCUCGAAGAAAUCACGUGUUUUAAAUGUGGAAACAAAGGUCAUUAUGCAAAUAAAUGUACCAAAGGACAUUUGGCGUUCUUAUCUAACAAUGCUGUUCGGAAAUGAAACUAUUCUUACAAUAAUAAAGCUAUCCUUUCAG